AAUCGCGAGCAGGCGUCACGUGACUGGAGACCGCGACAGCUGCGGAGGCGGCCGAGCGUGUCUCUGAGGGGCGGGAUCCGCCGCGCUGUUGCCCCGUGCGGUUCUCUCCGUCUCCUUACCCUUUCUAAACUUCGUCUGUUCUUGCCUCUCGAGCUUCUGUCUGGGCCCUAAGGAAGGAGGGAUGUAGCCUGGGGUCCCCAAAUCAAGGCCGAAUGCCUCUGUAGCUAUGGCGGCCCCGGCGGAUUGGGGCGGCCUCAACCUAACUGGGGCGUGGUCUGGGGGCGUGGCCUCGGCGGGGCGGCCGCCUUGGAGCUGCAAAGUUUGGCUGUGGCGGCAAAUGGGUUUGGGCGGCUCCUCGGCGGGUGGCGGCGGUGGCCUUAGCGGUUCCUCCUGGCCCUGUUAAUGUCAGGGCCAAGCCCGGGGAGGAUGGCGCCCUAGAGCCUGGCCUUGCUGGGGUAGGGGCGGGAGGGGGCCGGGGCGGGGACCGGCCAUGUCGGAGGUGACCCGGAGUCUGCUGCAGCGCUGGGGCGCCAGUCUUAGGAGAGGCGCCGACUUCGACUCUUGGGGCCAGCUGGUGGAGGCGAUAGACGAGUAUCAGAUAUUAGCAAGACAUUUACAGAAGGAGGCCCAAGCUCAACACAAUAAUUCUGAAUUCACAGAAGAACAAAAGAAAACCAUAGGCAAAAUUGCAACAUGUUUGGAAUUGCGAAGUGCAGCAUUACAGUCCACACAGUCCCAAGAAGAGUUUAAACUGGAGGACCUGAAGAAGCUAGAACCAAUCCUGAAGAAUAUUCUUACAUAUAAUAAAGAAUUCCCAUUUGAUGUUCAGCCUAUCCCAUUAAGACGGAUUUUAGCACCUGGUGAAGAAGAGAAUUUGGAAUUUGAAGAAGAUGAGGAAGGUGGUGCUGGAGCAGGACCUCCUGAUUCUUUCUCUGCUAGAGUCCCUGGUACUUUAUUGCCACGGUUGCCAUCAGAACCAGGGAUGACGUUACUCACCAUCAGGAUUGAGAAAAUCGGUCUGAAAGACGCUGGGCAGUGCAUCGAUCCCUACAUCACAGUCAGCGUGAAAGAUUUGAAUGGCAUAGAUUUAACUCCUGUACAAGAUACUCCUGUGGCUUCAAGAAAAGAAGAUACUUAUGUUCAUUUUAAUGUGGACAUUGAGCUCCAGAAACAUGUUGAAAAGUUAACCAAAGGUGCGGCCAUUUUCUUUGAAUUCAAACAUUACAAGCCUAAAAAGAGGUUUACCAGCACCAAGUGUUUUGCCUUCAUGGAGAUGGAUGAAAUUAAACCUGGGCCAAUCGUAAUAGAACUAUACAAGAAACCCACUGACUUUAAAAGAAAGAAAUUGCAAUUAUUGACCAAGAAACCACUUUAUCUUCAUCUAAAUCAAAGUUUACACAAGGAAUGAUCCUGAUACAAAUAACCAAGAACUUGUGUGAAUUUUACCACUCAGAAACCAUCAUAGCUCUGUGUAGCAUAAUCACCCUUCAACAGGCAGGAAAUGAACCCUACCCAUGCCAGUUGACCAAGCAAGUGUAUUGCACAGCCGGACCCCAGAACAAAAGUUCAGCACGUCACUGACCUAUCACUCCUUUGGAUACAGAUCAUAGAAGACAAAUAGCAAGUGGAAUUUUCUGUGCUACAGCACUGAUCAACACAGCAUGGUUUAUAUGAGCUACAGAUGCCUGCCGUCAGGGUUACAGCACUUUAGUGGAACAUCAUGUGAUAAGCUCAACUUUAAUUCAGACCUGGAUGACCAGAUUGUCUUAAGGCAGUUAACACAAGAGCACUCCCCAUUUCACAAGCUGAGUUUCCUCUGUACUGAGCAGUACCCUUGUCCCCAGCAGAGAUGCUUUCAGGCUGAGGUGCUGCUCCUUCCUAGUGAGCUUUAGCCAUUCAACCCAGAAACAGCUGGAAGGGACCUCUGAAACAAAAACUUUUGAAAUGGAAGAGUUGGAUUCAACUGAAGUAUGAUGUCCUCUGUGUCAUCUGUAGAUGGACAGGCUUUUGUAGCACAGGAUGUCUGAUGAGAUGAGGCUGAGGAAAGGCAGUGAGACUGGCUCAGAAGGGCACAGAAAGACUACAACUGAGGUUUCUCCACAUACUUCUGAUGAUUUCUGUGAUAAAUGUCAGGAUAACCAAAGGGCUUUAGAGAGGGAAUAUCUUAAUUUUGAAUAUAAAAAAAGGUUUAAUUUACCUUUACUAUGUCUUCUUAGCUUGUAUAAUUUUUAUUCUAUAUGCCCUCUAAAUUUAGGUAAUCAAGAUAGCUGAGGCAGGAGGAUAACAAGUUUGAGCAAGCCUGGACUAUAUAGGUGAGACUCUAUCUUUAAAAAAAAAAAAAAAAAAAAAAGCAAAAAUUAUAAAUUAUGUUUUCACUAUUUUGUGUCCUGAGGGGGGUUGACAGAUACUUUCAAGAAGUUGUGUUUGCAAUUUAAUAUUAUUUUUAUAUGGUUAAAAAUGGCAUGUGUUAGGUGCUAAAGAGAUGGUUCAGGGGUUAAAAGCACUUUCGGUUCUUACAGAGAACCAGGGUUCAGUUCCCAGCACCUACAUGAUGGCUCACAACUGCUUAUAACUUCAGUUACAGGGAUCUAGUGCCCUCUUCUGGUCCCAUGGGUACCAGACAUAACACAUGUUGCACAUACAUACAUACAUGCAAGCAUGCAAGCAAAACACAUAUGCAUAGAAUAGAAAAUAAAGUUUUGAAUUAUAUACACUAUCCUGUGCAUUUUCUUAUAGAUAUAAAAUCUUUGUAAUUCUGGAUUGGGGUCAGGCAGGUUGAACUCUUACUGGAGGAUUUACAGGCUCCCUUGGAACUCCUCCUGCAUUGAGAGAACCUGUCUUUUUAUGUCUUCAAUCAUUGAAGAUUUGAAUUGAACUUUCACAUUGAAGUUUUUGCUCAUAAAUCUCCAAUGGAUUUAACUUCCCAGCAGUGGCAUGAUGUGCCCUCGGUCAUUACUUCACAGGACUUUAGAGAGUACAGUGUCACAGUGAGUGGUUUUCACUUUUUAUAGCUUUAAUUACUGCAGCUUAUAUGUAACGUGCUGCUAAAGGUAUUGUAAAUAAAUUGUCUGAACUAGUUGUUUUAAAGACAGUGUAAAAGGGUGUAAACUUUAUGACACAAUACCAUAUUCCUAAACUUACCUGAUUUAUAAAGUAGCAAUGCUUGAAUACUAAUUUCUGAAUAGUAUCUGUUAAAGAAUUGAGCCAGGCAUAGUAAGUCAAGCCUGAUAUGCCAGCCUCUAAGCUGAGACCAUGUUGCAGGGCCAUGUUGGGUACAUAAUGAGACCCUCGCUCAAAACAGCCAUGUAACUGCGCUUAGCCCAUAGUUGUAGACUGAGGAUGUACAUUGAUUUUCAGAUCUUUCUGCCUCAUGGCAGCUUCCUGAUUCUUUGCCAUACUCCUUGAAAAUCAACUGCUAGGUGAUAUGAGAGAAAAUAGAAUAUACAUUUCUAAAAAGAAAUGAUCUUACUGUCAUGGCAUGAUUUUUAUCUUGUUAGCCAACCGUAGUCAAAGAAUGGUU